UGUAAUUCUUUUUAGCUGUAGUUUUUUAGGUUUUUUAGAGUGAAUUUUGUAUACUGUAUUUACUCGUUUGAGCGCCGCCCCCGAUUGAGCGCCGCCCCCGAUUGAGCGCCGCCCCCGAAUGAGCGCCGCAUUUGAGAUCGAAUUUUUUUAAAGAGCGCCGCCCCCGAAUGAGCGCCGCACUAAACAGUGUAAAAACUUUCCGCAGUCAAAAUGGGGACAUUUAGUGACAAAG